rnacentral:lncRNA from 1 species
UCUCUCUCUCCCUCCCAGCCUCUAUAAAUUUGCCCAUUUUUGUGGAUCUCAAAUGAGAGAGAGAGAGAGAGAGAGAGAGACAGAGAGAGAGAGAGAGAGCAAUAGGUUUAGAACACAGAAAUGGGAUUUAGAAUUGUGUAUGGGGUGCUGUUUCUGUCGUUCUCGUGCGCCUGCAUCAAGCUCAUCCACCUUAUGCUCCACCCAGUAUUCUACUACACCACCUGAGGACUGAUGGGAAGCUAAGCCUCCACCAGGUCAAAUGCUGACCAAAAACAAGAACAAAAAAUUUGGGUUAGCUAGCCACAAAAUAGGUAUUUUGGUUUGGUUUUUUUAUUUAUAUAUAUCUACUUCAAUUGGGUUUGUAUUGUUUGUGGGUUACGUUGUUGAUGUGUGUGGUAUUGAUAUUGCAAGUUUUUAUAAGUGAGGAUGAAGUUGAAGUGUGUAUUUGUUGAUUUAGUUUGAUGUAUUUUGGUGCCAACACUGUUUGAUUUAAGUUCAUUGUUUAGCUAAUGGCUUGAUUUUACAGUCAUGGGAAUAAAUUUUCAACAAUGUUUUUAUGAUGUGGUGGCUAUCUGGAAUGUUUACGAUGGUGGUGGGUGGGUCAUGAAGCUUUUCUUUGUUGGGCUAGCAAUAGCAUUCAGGAGUCAUGAUGAGCCAUGACGUUGGUGUUGCUUGGAGGAUUGGACUCAGAAAAAAGAAAAUAAAUAUCAGAUUCCUGAAUUGAAAUUUUCAAAGUUGAAUAAAAGCUGAUUGGUUG